AGCGGUGACGGCGACGGAGUCAUCCGGAAGUCCCCGAUUUCACACUGCCAAGAAAAGCCUCUAGCGAGGGAAGAGGUGCCCGUACCGCAAACCGACACAGGUAGGCGAGGAGAGAAUCCUAAGGCGCGCGGGAGAACUCUCGUUAAGGAACUCGGCAAAAUGACCCCGUAACUUCGGGAGAAGGGGUGCUCUUUGGGGUGAAGAGCCCUGAAGAGCCGCAGUGAAAAGGCCCAAGCGACUGUUUAUCAAAAACACAGGUCUCUGCGAAGCCGAAAGGCGACGUAUAGGGGCUGACACCUGCCCGGUGCUGGAAGGUUAAGGGGAGCGCUUAGCGGAAGCGAAGGUGCGAACCGAAGCCCCAGUAAACGGCGGCCGUAACUAUAACGGUCCUAAGGUAGCGAAAUUCCUUGUCGGGUAAGUUCCGACCCGCACGAAAGGUGUAACGACUUGGGCGCUGUCUCAACGAGAGACCCGGUGAAAUUAUACUACCUGUGAAGAUGCAGGUUACCCGCGACAGGACGGAAAGACCCCGUGGAGCUUUACUGCAGCCUGAUAUGGAAUUUUGGUAUCGCUUGUACAGGAUAGGUGGGAGCCUGGGAAGCCGGAGCGCCAGCUUCGGUGGAGGCGGCGGUGGGAUACCACCCUGGCGGUAUUGAAAUUCUAACCCGCACCCCUUAGCGGGGUGGGAGACAGUGUCAGGCGGGCAGUUUGACUGGGGCGGUCGCCUCCCAAAAGGUAACGGAGGCGCCCAAAGGUUCCCUCAGAAUGGUUGGAAAUCAUUCGGAGAGUGCAAAGGCACAAGGGAGCUUGACUGCGAGACGGACAGGUCGAGCAGGGACGAAAGUCGGGCUUAGUGAUCCGGUGGUUCCGCAUGGAAGGGCCAUCGCUCAACGGAUAAAAGCUACCCCGGGGAUAACAGGCUGAUCUCCCCCAAGAGUCCACAUCGACGGGGAGGUUUGGCACCUCGAUGUCGGCUCAUCGCAUCCUGGGGCUGUAGUCGGUCCCAAGGGUUGGGCUGUUCGCCCAUUAAAGCGGUACGCGAGCUGGGUUCAGAACGUCGUGAGACAGUUCGGUCCCUAUCCGUCGCGGGCGGAGGAAAUUUGAGAGGAGCUGUCCUUAGUACGAGAGGACCGGGAUGGACGCACCGCUGGUGUACCAGUUGUCCCGCCAGGGGCACCGCUGGGUAGCUAUGUGCGGACGGGAUAAGCGCUGAAAGCAUCUAAGCGUGAAGCCCCCCUCAAGAUGAGAUUUCCCACCGCGUUAGGCGGGUAAGAUCCCUCGAAGAUGACGAGGUCGAUAGGUCCGAGGUGGAAGCGUGGCGACACGUGGAGCUGACGGAUACUAAUCGAUCGAGGGCUUAACCUA
rnacentral:rRNA from 1 species